rnacentral:rRNA from 1 species
GGUGGCAGCAGCCGCGGUAACACCGGCAGCUCUAGUGGUAGCUGUUUUAUUGGGCCUAAAGCGUUCGUAGCCGGUUUAAUAAGUCUCUGGUGAAAUCCUAUAGCUUAACUGUGGGAAUUGCUGGAGAUACUAUUAGGCUUGAGAUCGGGAGAGGUCAGAGGUACUCCUGGGGUAGGGGUGAAAUCCUGUAAUCCUAGGAGGACCACCUGUGGCGAAGGCGUCUGACUAGAACGAAUCUGACGGUGAGGAACGAAAGCUAGGGGCGCGAACCGGAUUAGAUACCCGGGUAGUCCUAGCCGUAAACUAUGCGGACUUGGUGUGAGGGUGGCUUUGAGCCGUCCUGGUGCCGAAGGGAAGCUGUUAAGUCCGCCGCCUGGGAAGUACGGUCGCAAGACUGAACUUAAAGGAAUUGGCGGGGGAGCACCACAACGCGUGGAGCCUGCGGUUUAAUUGGAUUCAACGCCGGAGAUCUCACCAGCGGCGACAGCAGUAUGAUGACCAGGUUGAUGACUUUGUUUGACAAGCUGAGUGGAGGUGCAUGG